rnacentral:tRNA from 1 species
GGGGAUAUAGCUCAAUUGGUAGAGGGCUUGCCUUGCAUGCAUAAGGCACUGGGUUCAAUCCCUAGCACCACCA